rnacentral:rRNA from 1 species
GACGGACGCUGGCGGCGUGCUUAACACAUGCAAGUCGAACGGAAAGGCCCCAGCUUGCUGGGGUACUCGAGUGGCGAACGGGUGAGUAACACGUGGGUGAUCUGCCCUGCACUCUGGGAUAAGCCUGGGAAACUGGGUCUAAUACCGGAUAGGACCGUGCUUUAGUGUGUGCGGUGGAAAGGUUUUCGGUGCAGGAUGAGCCCGCGGCCUAUCAGCUUGUUGGUGGGGUAAUGGCCUACCAAGGCGGCGACGGGUAGCCGGCCUGAGGGGGUGUACGGCCACAUUGGGACUGAGACACGGCCCAGACUCCUACGGGAGGCAGCAGUGGGGAAUAUUGCACAAUGGGCGCAAGCCUGAUGCAGCGACGCCGCGUGGGGGAUGACGGCCUUCGGGUUGUAAACCCCUUUCGGCAGGGACGAAGCUUUUGUGACGGUACCUGCAGAAGAAGCACCGGCUAACUACGUG